rnacentral:rRNA from 1 species
CAGCCGCCGCGGUAAUACAGAGGGUGCGAGCGUUAAUCGGAUUUACUGGGCGUAAAGCGUGCGUAGGCGGCUAAUUGAGUCGGAUGUGAAAUCCCCGAGCUUAACUUGGGAAUUGCAUUCGAUACUGGUUAGCUAGAGUGUGGGAGAGGAUGGUAGAAUUCCAGGUGUAGCGGUGAAAUGCGUAGAGAUCUGGAGGAAUACCGAUGGCGAAGGCAGCCAUCUGGCCUAACACUGACGCUAAGGUACGAAAGCAUGGGGAGCAAACAGGAUUAGAUACCCGAGUAGUCCCUGUCUCUUAUAA